rnacentral:rRNA from 7 species
CAACGACUCUCGGCAACGGAUAUCCCGGCUCUCGCAUCGAUGAAGAACGUAGCGAAAUGCGAUACUUGGUGUGAAUUGCAGAAUCCCGUGAACCAUCGAGUUUUUGAACGCAAGUUGCGCCCGAUGCCAUUAGGUUGAGGGCACGUCUGCCUGGGUGUCACGU